rnacentral:lncRNA from 1 species
GGCGAUCAGCCUUCUUCAUGGUCUAGCUCCCACUUCCAUACAUCACUACUGGGAAAACCAUAGCUUUAACUAUACGGGCCUUGGUCAGCAAGGUGAUGUCUCUGCUUUUUAAGAUGCUGUCUAGGUUUGUCAUUGCUUUUCUCCCAAUUUCUUUUUCUCUCUCUUAGUGGACAUUUUUUAGGAAGCGAGCGGCGUAGAACUAUUGCAAGGAGAAUUCUCAGAGAUUAGGAAAACUACUAGACUCUUACCACGGGAAGGGGAGGUUUAAAUGUCCUCCUUAUUCCCGCAUUCCUCCGCCCCCUCCCGCAAAGAAUUAAAGAAAACAACAACAAUUUACAGUGUUGUCAGGGAGAGGAAGUUACGUUCACACGAAGCAGAAGUCAGCUCCAUGGAGACCAGGCACAUUUCCCUCCUAGAGCGGCUUUCAGUCAGUGGAGGUUGGUUGCCCUUGGAUAGGAGAGUUUAAGACAUGAUUAUAGUUGCUGCCGCCGGGUUAUUCUUGCAGAAGCACUAGAAGUUGCCUGGCAGCAGAGUGAGGCCAUUGGGGGGGGGGUAUGUACCAUAUUUUUCGCUCUAUAACACGCACCCGACCAUAACACGCACAUAGUUUUUAGAGGAGGAAAACAAGAAAAAAAUAUUCUAAACGAAACAGUGGAUGUAUGAUUUUUGUGGUUCAUGCUGUGGCCACAGACAUGUGAUCUGAUGGUGAGUUUGGGGUAGCCCAAUGCAAAAAUCCUGAGGAUCCAUGUGGAUCCAUGCUUUGUAAUCACGUUUUUGCACCACUGCGGCCCCAGGCAACAGUGGGUGCGUGAUUUUUUUGGUGCAAGCUGUAGCCAUGGACAUGCUAUGUGAUCUGAUGGUGAAUUUGGGGUGACCCAGUGCAAAAUCCUGAGGAUCCAUGUGGACCCGUGCUUUGUAACCACAUUUUAAGUGGGGAGGGAAGGAAAAGCACUCAAGGGACAAGGAACACGCGUGGGGUGGGUGGAGAAGGAUGCUGUUAAUAAUGCAGAAGAGGGGUAUAAGAGAAGGCUCCUCUCCUCUCCUGCUUUGCUCCUUUAAAGCAAGCAGGCUCUCUGUCCCUCUCUCCUCCCCACUCAGCAGCUCUUCUCCCGCUUUGCUGUUUCAAAGCAAGCCAUGGAGGAGGGAAGGAAGGGGAACCAUGGAUCCUCUGCUCACGACUGCAGCAGAUCCCCCCGCCAUCCGUAGGCAUUCGCUCCAUAACACGCACAGACAUUUCCCCUUACUUUCUAGGAGGAAAAAAGUGAGUGUUAUGGUGCAAAAAAUAUGGUAUGUAUGUAUAUACAUACAUGUGUAUGUAUGUAUAUACACACAUGUGUAUGUAUGUAUAUACACACGUGUGUGUGUGUAUGUAUGUAUAUACACACAUGUGUAUGUAUGUAUAUACACACGUGUAUGUAUGUAUAUACAUACAUGUGUAUGUAUGUACAUAUGUGUGUAUAUAAUAUAUACAAAUACAUAAAUGGGUUGGGAGGGUUCUUAGGGGAGGGGUAGUACCUCUGGUGGGUGACACUUCCUACUCCUGGGUCAUUUUGUCCACCUUUGGCCUCCGCCCUGCACUUGGCUCUUACCUGUGGCUCCUAGAAGCUGUCAGCAUGCACCGGCAGCUACAUCCCAGGAAGCAGCUUUGACUGGCUGGCUAAACCAGGUGAAGCGAGCCAAUGAAUCUCAAACCCUUGGGGCUUCCCCUGCAUGUGAAGACAGGCUCUGGCAGAUGGACGAGAACCAUCAUGGGUCCGACGGUCAAGAAGGCGGUUUCUGCACAUGCUGUAGAGGGAAGUGGGGAGCAAAUGGGGUUCGCCAUCCUGGAAAACUGAUCCUAAACCUCUGCUGCCUUGCAGGAUAUAUUCGGGGGAAGAAAAGGUUAAGGAGUAAGCCCUACACAAAGGUGGUUGGAUGGUGCUUCGUACACCUCCUUCCAGAAACUCUUGCAGCCAAGCUGAUGCCUAACGUAUUACUCUGCUUUCGUUUGGUCCACAUCAGCGAGCCAGAGGAGGGUGUUGUCAUCUGGGCAGCCCUGGACUUCCAUACAAGCUUGUGCCCCAGGG